GUGAUUCAUCAAACAAUUUAGAAUUCAAAAUAAUUGCAGAAGCAGUUUAAACAGAUCACAACUGCUCUCAAACAGAUUGUUCCAAUUUCUUUUCCUGCACAAUGAACAAUCCAAAUAUUAAUCAACACAGUUAAAGACAACUAACUUUCUCUCAAGUUACCAAAGAAAUAGGCCAAGUCAGCCUCAUAAAUCUCUCACAACUCAGGUUACUCUUUCUAACAACCUCACAACUCACUCAAAGGGUAGGUUUAGAAGAAAGUUCAGUCAAGCCAAAGAAUCCUGUGGAUCUCCACCACCUAGGAUGCUACCAUUCACAAAUACCUUUCCUUUUCAUUAAUCCAUAAUAGCAUCAGAUUUCUCAAAUCAUAAAAAUUGGUAGGCUAAACAA
rnacentral:lncRNA from 1 species